CGCCUCUCGGUUUUAAACGUAAACAAGAGCUGCCCUUCCCUCUUCCAAGACCUGCAAAUCCAAGAUUCCUUUCCUCCGGAAGCCCCGCCGCCUUCUAAGUUUCUCCCCAGCCUCAGCCACGCCCCAGCCAGCAAAUGCCGGGUCUUCCAUGUCCGCUCGCUUAGUAUUUGAUUUCGGCGCGCGCCAUACCUGAGGGCGGCUGUGAUUGGUUGGAGGUUAGCGAAGUUCCUAUAUGAUUGGCUGAUGGCGGGUAGGAUGGAAGAAGGCCAAGGGCGGAGAAUUGUGGGCGGGAUUAAGACUGCAAGAGCUGAGUGAUGGUUGGUUCCUGAACAAAGAGGGCGGAGUAAAAGGCGGAAGCAGAAUUUGGGGCAGGGCCUUGUGGAACUUGGGAGACCCAGCGAGAUGGAAGUAGUUAGGUGUCCGGAGCACGGGACUUUCUGCUUUCUUAAGACCGGCGUCUGCGAUGGCCCGAAUAAAGGAAAGAGCUUCUACGUGUGCCGGGCAGACACGUGCAGCUUCGUGCGGGCCACCGACCUUCCUGUUUCUCAUUGCUUAUUGCAUGAGGACUUUGUGGUAGAGCUUCAGGGUUUGCUUCUGCCACAGGACAAGAAAGAAUACAGAUUGUUCUUCCGAUGCAUUAGAAGUAAGGCAGAGGGGAAACGCUGGUGUGGAAGUAUUCCAUGGCAGGAUCCUGAUUCCAAAGAACAUUCUGUCCCCAAUAAGUCUCAGCAUGCAUCUGAGACAUUUCAUCAUUCUUCCAGCCGGCUGAGAAAUCCAUUCAAGGUACUUGACAAGAAUCAAGAACCAGCUCUCUGGAAACAGCUCAUCAAAGGUGAAGGUGAGGAAAAGACGGCUGAUAAGAAGCAAAGAGAAAAGGGAGAUCAGCUUUUCAAUCAAAAGAAGGAACAGAAGCCUGAAUUGAUGGAGAAAGAUCUCUCAUCUGGCCUGGUACCAAAGGAAAAACAAUCUGUAGUUCAAGAGAAGAAGCAAGAGGAGAGAGCAGAGAUUCAGUGUGAGGCAGAGGAGACUGGAGGCACACACAAAAGAGACUUUUCUGAAGUUAAAUCUCAACAGUGCCAAGGUAAUGAGCUUACAAGACCAUCUGCAUCUUCUCAGGAGAAAUCAAGUGGUAAGAGUCAAGAUGUCCAAAGAGAAUCAGAACCUCUGAGAGAAAAAGAUACCCAGCUUUUGCCUCAAAACGUUCACAGUCACAGCUCAAUAAGCAAGCCCCAGAAAGGGGGACCCCUCAACAAGGGGUACAAGAACUGGGAGGCUAAAGAAACAAAGGCAAAGGAUGGCCCUAGCACACAGGCCACCCAGAAAAGCCUGCCUCGGAGGCAUUUCCAAGAGCGGCCGGAGACCCACGGUGUACCUGCUCCUGGAGGACCAGUGGCUCAGGCUGCACCAGCAGCACCAGGGCUUUCCCUGGGUGAGGGCCAUGAAGCUGCCACAAGCAGUGACGAUGAGGAGGAAGAUGAUGUUGUCUUUGUUUCCUCUAAGCCUGGGAGCCCCCUACUCUUUGACUCGACUCUGGACUUACAGACGAAGGAGAACCUCCAAUUCCCUGAUCGAAGUGUGCAAAGAAAGGUAUCUCCGGCCUCAGGUGUUUCCAAGAAAGUAGAGUCCUCAGACCCAGCAGCCCAGCGUGUCUACCUUACAACACAACUGAAACAAAAGAAGAGCACACUGGCAUCAGUGAACAUCCAGGCUCUUCCAGACAAGGGGCAGAAGUUGAUCAAACAAAUCCAGGAGCUGGAGGAAGCGCUCAGUGGUCUUGCCCUUUCCCCAGAGCAAGGUAAAGUGGGUUAUGCCUGAGAACUCCGGGUUUGCGUGGACUUUACAAGAGACAUUUGGAAGCCCUUUUAAUAAAGAAUGUGUUGAUUCAUUCACUUUUCCAUUUUAUUAUCUGCUUCUGAGCCUUCUUUCACAUUACACCUAUGGUUCAUA
rnacentral:lncRNA from 1 species